rnacentral:rRNA from 1 species
AGUGAACGCUGGCGGUAGGCCUAACACAUGCAAGUCGAACGGCAGCACAGUACGAGCUUGCUCUUACGGGUGGCGAGUGGCGUACGGGUGAGGAAUACAUCGGAAUCUACUUUUUCGUGGGGGAUAACGUAGGGAAACCUACGCUAAUACCGCAUACGCUCUACGGGUGAAAGCAUGGGAUCUUCGCACCUUGCGCGAUUGAAUUAGCCGAUGUCGGAUUGGCUAGUUGGCGGGGUAAAUGCCCACCAAGGCGGCGAUCCGUAGCUGGUCUGAGAGGAUGAUCGGCGACACUAGAACUUGAACGGCGACAUGGGUACUGAGGGAGGGAGCAGUGGGGAAUGUUGGACAAUGGGGGGAAGCCUGGUACAGUGGGAGCGCGUGGGUGAAAGAGGCCUUCGGGGUGUAAAGCCGUUUUUCUGGGAAAGAAAAGCAGCAGGUUAAUACCCCGCUGUUCUGACGGUACCCAAAGAAUAAGCACCGGCUAACUACGUG